rnacentral:rRNA from 1 species
UGUGUAGGAUAGGUGGGAGGCUUUGAAGAUGGGCGCCAGCUUGUGUGGAGCCGCCUUGAAAUACCACCCUGGGAACUUUCUGACGUCUAACCGAACCCCGUCACCCGGGGUCCGGGCCCUGUUUGGGGGGGMAGUUUACUUGGGGGGACUGCCUCCUAAAGGGUACCGGAGGCGCGCGAUGGUUGCGCUCAAGCCGGUCGGACAUCGGACACGAGUGCAAAGGCAWAAGCCAGCCUGACUGCGAGACCGACAAGUCGAGCAGAGRCGAAAGUCGGCCUUAGUGAUCCGGUG